UACAUAAGGUGUUUCCAAUUCAUGAUGUUAGGUGAAGGGUCCUAGUGACACUUUUGGAUAAGCAGAAGUGCAUGAAAUAAACUCAGCAGGAUCUCUACUCUGUGGGCUCUUAAUGGCUCCAUGGUGUGUGGCUGUGCUUUCCCAGCUGCACAUUUAAUAACUUGUACAAUGACAUUUUGCUAAUGAAGUUCUUGUGGCCUGAUAUGUUCAAGUUUAAAAGGAAGUUUGACUUCCGGCUCUCUUUCACUUUUAAAAUAAGUGAAUGAAUUAUUUUUUAACCAGCAAGGAAUUGAUUUUUCCAGUGACUUCUAAACAGAAUCUCCUUACACCAGGUUGCAGAUGUACUCCUGGGCCCUUCGUGAAGUCUUUUUGAUGGUUUAACUAUGGUUUGCACACAAAGGUCAGACAGCAGGACUGUGGAGACCUCCAAUCUGGUCUAGGUAAUCUUUCCUUCUCGAAAAUUGUUGUGUUAGCCCAAACAAUGUGCAGUGGAGUCGACAUUCACACGUUACACAAAAUGUGAAAGAACCGAAGAUGCAAUUCAGCAGAACAGAGAAGCCUGGGGAAAAACCCGUUCUGAAGUCACAGCAGUAGAAAACUGUGAGCUAAAUUAAGAUAAAAUGAAAAAACAGGGAGUGACAAAAAAUAUUGCAGACAUCAUGAAGAUUAUCCACUCAUCUUGAAGAUUAACAGAAAAGAAAACAAACGUCAACACGCCACACUCUGGAGAUUUGAAGUACUGAAGCUUCAGGACUCAGUAUUCAGUUCCCACCGGAGAACUGGCUGUAUCACAUUGCAGUGACUCAUCCAGUGUCUGCCUUCCGCCUAUGGUCUGGUCUUCUUGAGGGCAGGGAAAAACCUCUUCUUAACCAUCUCUGCAGGCUCAUAAAGUCUUGGGAGAAUUAUACUGACUCGAUCAUUGUGGGUUGAUGAACUCAGCAAGUAUUUGAGAAGGUUGAUAUUCAAAAUAUCUAACAGGAAAAUAUGAUACAAAAUAAUUCUUCUAUGAAAUUCUAUUUCUGUGAACAGCAAUGAGUCUUCAUACUGGUAACUUGUAAGAUAUAUCAACUUCUGCUUUUCCUGCCACUGAUUUUGGCCUCAAAUCCUUUUCUGUGGCCUCAGUUGCCUUUCUAUAGGAAGAAAAGACAGUAUAGGUACAUUAUGUCAUCAUGGUGUUUUGUUUACUCAAACCUAAUUCCAUGGAGUCUUUGCCCUCAGGCUAGACACUUCGACAAGCCAGCUACCAGCUGUGACUAAAUCUAGCCAUUCCUCUUGACCUUUCUCAUUAGAGGCCAAGAGCAGAAAAGAACGUUCUCUCUCCCACAUCCAAGGAUCACUUUAUUUUAUGCCCAGGGUGAUUGACAUAUCAUUCAGGAGAAACCAUAAUGGAUACAUUACCAAUUUUAAUUAAUUCACUAGGCAUAUAAAUAAGUGAGUUCAAGGUCUUAUACCUUUGAAACAUUUUUCAACAAAUAAUUUUAAAAAUUAUUAAAAAUUUUUUCGAAGGGCCCUAUGUCUCAACUUUUAGUUCAUACAAUAUGAUAUUUUUAAUUCAGGCCAUUCACAAGUAUUGUUAUUAUUUUAUUUGCUGUAUGCUUAUUUAUUUCUGUGCCCACCCUCAAUCAAAUGUGAACUUCAUGAGGCCAGAGACCUAUCAGAGACCUCCUGACCUACGCAGUAGACCCGUCCUCUAUUGUAUACUCAAGCCUAGCACAGUGCCAGACACCUAAAAUGUGCUCAACAUCUGUCAAGUGUACAGAAUUACCUCCAGUCUUUAUAACAAUCUUAAAAGUUGGGUAGUAUUAUCUUUUGUUUUCAGAGGGGACAAUCGAGCUUCAGAGAAAGGACAUCUCUAAGGUAGUGAAACUGAGAUAUUAUUUUAAAUCUUGCAUUGUUUUCUUAUCCUGGUGUACAUGGUUAAUAAUGUUGCAUCACUCUCACCAUCAAAGCUUGGUGAAUAAUCAGUGAUUGCAAUUUUCUCUAUCUCUGGUUGGUUUUUCCACAGUGAUUAGCCAUACAACCUUUUAGGAAAAAAAGCAUGCUUACUUCUCUAGGGUGCAAGUCUUCAGGGAUCAGAGAGGAAAUCUCAAGCAACAGGUAGAUGGUGGAAGAUAUGAACAAGAAAAAUUAAAAUAAGAAAUAUUGGAAGAAAAAAUAGGACACCAUCAGAAUAUGUAGGAUAAAUGACUAUGGAUACCUCACUAGCAGAAAGAUAUGCAAUUCCCUGACAUUUAUAGCUAAUUUCCCUUGAUUUUUAGGAGAGUCUCUAGAAAGAGAUUCUGGGUAUACAUUCUCAUAGUGUUUUAGUCACAGACAAGAACGAUCUUUAAGAAGAGGAUGUUAUGUAUUAGACCACAUUCCAAAUGGAGGUCUGUUAGGAAAACAAAAUUAGGAGACACGUCUUCCAUUCAAAUUUAUCAAGACUAUUGGUACAGCUCUGCCUUGAUCACUGGAACUCUACACUGAAAGCAGGAGCUUUUUCCAGUGUGCCCUCUGGAAUAUAUACUGUUUGUUAUAUGAUUUUAGAGGCACCCUUUUUGAUGCUUCAAUUUUUACAGCAGCAAAAGCAAGCCUAGAUAUAAAGAAAUCUGCUGAAUAUGAAUAAACCUUGCUAUAGACAUUAGGUCUAUGCCUAUUAAGAUCCUAAAACUUCAACAAAUUGAAAGCAGAUUGUCUAUGAACCAAGUAAUAUGAUGAUGCCAAAGUGUGGAAUUUUCUGAAAAAAAAAAAAUAGACCAGCUUUUUCUUGUAACUGCUUAAUUUCAAGCCAAAAUGCAGAUGAUAUAGAUAGGUUGGCACAUUUGCUCAAAAUGUUAAAGAAAUUUUGGUAUGUCUGGCUGAAAGCUGACUACAUCACCAUUCAGCCGUUCUCCUGAAAGACACUUAGGUUUUAUGGUCUUUUGGGUCUAAAAUUAUUUGAUCUUGUGAUUUGGGUUCAUAUACUUAGUGGAAAAGCUUUCACUGAGUUCAAAAAGGAAAUCAAAUCUGGUCGAUGCCAAAAGAAAAUGCAAGGUGAUGACUAAUGACACUUCCAUUCUCCUUUUCUCUGCUCUGGCCAAGAACAUCAACUCCUGAUUUCAUCAUGGAUGGUGUAGCCAGGAAGGUUGGAUUUGAAUGCUUGUCCUCAUGGAAGUGAGAUAAAAAAAAUAUGGAUAUCCUUGACUACAUGGACGACUUAAACACACGAUGGGAAUACAUUCAUACCCACCCAUCAUCUCCCUGGCAAGAUGAGUUCUCCAGAGUUGCGUUGGAUCGGAAGGCAACUUAGACAUAAACAGUGAAAGGAGUAAUUCCAAGGGCCUGCACACUUAAAAUAAAAUUCAUCUUUGUGGAUGUGAAUGUUUAGCUGUGUUUCCAUGAAUCCAAGUUUGAAUAGGUCCUUGGCUAGCAUUCGCCACCAGGGCUGCAAGGUAUACUUUUUCUUAUCCAUAAGAGGUGAUGAAAAGCAUUUUGCAUUAUAUGCCAACAUAGCUAAUAAAUAAUCACAAAUCCCUAUUAAAAGAAAGGUUAAAAAGCAAACAAGUGAGGAGACUAGUUGGUUACUUUAGCAAUAAACUUGGAGAUAAAUGAUGGCGGCCCACAUUAAGGGAGUGGCAUUAUAGAUGAACAUGAAUAGUUGGAGUCAAGACGCGUUGAGGAGCUGGAAUGAAUGGAACCCAUUGAUGGUGGAUGAAGAAGAGGGAGGAGUCAAGGAUGGAAACAGGGCAUUGGGCUUAGGCACUGAGAUGGAUGGGAGAGAUGAGAUGAACAAGACGCCAUUCACUGAGACAGGAAAGAAGAAGGGAGGAGGAGGUUGUUUUGGAAUUGCAAAAGGUAAACAGUCGAACUAACCAGAUCUUACGGACAUGCCUUUACUCAGUGGUACUUUUAAAAAUAGAAAAACGUGGUAUAUGCUUCAAUCAUUCUUAGAAACUUGCCUUUCCUUAUCUAACAUUUGACAUUAAAUUUGGAUUUGAAAAGAGAAAUAUCAGAAAUAAAGAAACACUUCUAAGCCUUUAAAUUGUGAGGUGUUACGUUAGAUCCUGCAACUGCCACUGUCUCAUGAUAUUAUCAUGCUAAACCGAU